AUUGAACGCUGGCGGCAGGCCUAACACAUGCAAGUCGAACGGUAACACGAAGCAGCUUGCUGCUUCGCUGACGCGUGGCGGACGGGUGAGUAAUGUCCGUGAGACUGCCUGAUGUAGGGGGAUAACUACUGGAAACGGUAGCUAUUACCGCAUAACGUCGCAAGACCAAAGAGGGGGACCUUCUGGCCCCUUGCCCUCGGAUGUGCCCAGAUGGGAUUAGCUAGUAGGUGGGGUAACGGCUCACCUAGGCGACGAUCCCUAGCUGGUCUGAGAGGAUGACCAGCCACACUGGAACUGAGACACGGUCCAGACUCCUACGGGAGGCAGCAGUGGGGAAUAUUGCACAAUGGGCGCAAGCCUGAUGCAGCCAUGCCGCGUGUAUGAAGAAGGCCUUCGGGUUGUAAAGUACUUUUAGCGGGGAGGAAAGGAGUAAAGUUAAUACCUCGGCGUAUUGACGGUACCCGAAGAAGAAGCACCGGCUAACUCCGUG
rnacentral:rRNA from 1 species